rnacentral:misc_RNA from 1 species
ACAAAUGUAAUCCAAUUACCACACACUACACUGUGCACCGUUGAAGUAUACUUUGGCAGGGAGUGAAAUGACGAGUCGAGCCGCCCAUUGGGGGUAGCGCGCGCGAGUCUUUCGAUCUGCCAGAGUUUUUUCCAAUACUAAACAACAAACGAACGUCGUCUCAUAACUGUGACUGAACUUCAUUUAAACGAAUGAAAAUA